rnacentral:misc_RNA from 1 species
CAACCCUCAAGCUCAGCUUGGUAUUAGGCUUCACCCUUAGGGGCGGGCUUUAAAAUCAGUGGCGGUGCCAUUCGGCUUCAAGCGUAGUAAUUUUCUCGCUUUGGAGAUCGGGUGUGUGUUUGCCAACAACCCCAUAUUUUUUAAA